GACGAACGCUGGCGGCGUGCUUAACACAUGCAAGUCGAACGGAAAGGCCCUGCUCUUGUGGGGUGCUCGAGUGGCGAACGGGUGAGUAACACGUGAGUAACCUGCCCUUGACUUUGGGAAAACUUCAGGAAACUGGGGCUAAUACCGGAUAGGAGCUCCUGCUGCAUGGUGGGGGUUGGAAAGUUUCGGCGGUUGGGGAUGGACUCGCGGCUUAUCAGCUUGUUGGUGGGGUAGUGGCUUACCAAGGCUUUGACGGGUAGCCGGCCUGAGAGGGUGACCGGCCACAUUGGGACUGCGAUACGGCCCAGACUCCUACGGGAGGCAGCAGUGGGAAAUAUUGCACAGUGGGCGGAAGCCUGAUGCAGAAACGCCGCGUGCGGGAUAACGGCCUUCGGGUUGUAAACCUCUUUCGCCUGUGACGAAGCGUGAGUGACGGUAAUGGGUAAAGAAGCACCGGCUAACUACGUG
rnacentral:rRNA from 1 species